AGAGAAGCAGGCCGGGGAAGGGGUAGAUGUUGCCGCAAGCAGAGGAAGAAGGAAAAGUCUCAAAUUUGUUCACACGUUUUUCCAUAAGAGUCAGCACAAGGAUAUGCUGGAAAGUCUGCGGUCUGAAGUGGAGUGGGAGGGAAAGGAGAGCACCAGCUGUGAUGGCCACAGGAGUCAGCCUCCACGUGGAACUCACUCCCCUGGGAACACGCAUCCAAAGCCAGACUCCCACCUGCUUCACAGACCUCUCCUGGGACCUGCCCUGGGUAAGGUGACAGGUGAGGGGUGGGAGGCCAGGGCAGGGGGUCUAGAGAGGGGCAGGGAAGUGCAGCGAGUCUAUUCUUUUUUUUUUUUUUUUUUUGUCUUUUUGGGGCUGCACCUGUGGCAUAUGGAGGUUCCCAGGCUUGGGAUCUAUUCGGAGCUGUAGCUGCUGGCCUACGCCACAGCCACGGUAACACGGGAUCCUUAACCCACUGAGCGAAGCCAGGGAUCGAACCUGUGUCCUGAUGGAUACUAGUUGGGUUCGUUAACCGCUGAGCCAUGACCAGAACUCUAAGACAGUGAUUCUUUUUAGCUGCACCCCUGCCGGGCAUUUCUGCUUCUUCUGAAUGUGUGGCUUUGAGUCUGAAAGCAGAGCGGCUCGGUUGCCUCCAGAGGUACAGCUGACCUCUUUCCCCCGCUUCCCCUUCCAGGAUGUGUACCCAACUAGCUUUUCUCACCCCUUUGGUUCUCCCUCCAGGCCCCUGCUCCCCCCUUUCCCUCCUGGGUCCAGCUGUCACGAACUUAUUUAUGGGCUCAUCACAGAUUUGGGGGGCGUUCUUUUUGUGUCCAGCCAAGACUGGGUGCUGGAGGCAGCCCUUUAGAAGGCUGGCCCGAGGUCUCCUUGUCACCCAGCCUUCCUCUCCUUUUGUCACUCAGCUGCUUCAUGCCUGCCUUUGAUCUGUCCUCAGCAGGCCUCCUUUGUCCUGGCCGCUCCUGGCUCCCCCUUUCGCCUGUGGGGUCCUUUUUCUUAGCAGUGGCCACUUCACAGGCUCUGCCGGAAGGGCUCGGGUCCAGCCUUCCAGCCCCCCCUCUCCAAGGUCACACUUUGCCUCCAUCCCUCCAGCAGGGAUGGAUCCCUAAGUGAUGUCCCAGCCUCUUUGAGGACUUUAAUUCAAAGCAGUGUGAAAAUAAAUUUACAGCUCACUUGAAAAAGAAACAAAAUUAGAGUAUCUAGGAAGUUGUUUGUUUAUUUUGAGAAAAAAAAAAAAGGGCCAAGGAAGAAUAUCUCCAACAAAUAUUAAAAUAAAUAUAAUUAAGUCAUAAAGCUAUAUGGCCUUAAUUGGUUUGGUACUGGUGCUGAAUUAGGUAAAAACAGUUCAUUUGAACAGAAUAUACCGUAAAUACUUAUGGGGACUUAUUUAUGAUACAGGUAGCAUUUAAACUAGUGGUUGACUAAUUAUUGAAGAAAUGAUAUUGGGACAAUUGGGUGUCCACCCAAGAAAAAAAAUGCAGAUGGCUCCAUGUUGUAAACAUUAAAAGAAAAGAAAAGCAGGAGGAGGAUCUUAUAAUUUUUCUUCUUUAGCUUGUUCAUGUGAUGGAUUAUCUUAGUUUAUUUUCAAAUGUUGAACCAGCCUUACACACUUGAAAUAAAUCCCAUGUAGUCAUGAUGUAUACUUUAUUUUUAUACAUGUUGGAUUCUAUUUGCUAACAUUUUGAGUAUUUUUGCAUUUGUAUUCAUGAGAGAUAUUGGAUUAUAGUUUUUCUUUCUUAUAAUGGAACUAGGAAGUUACCAAACUAAAGAACAGUGUGUGAGGAGUUCCCAUCGUGGCUCAGUGGAAACGGAUCCGACUAGCAUCCAUGAAGACGCAAAUUCAAUCCCUGGCCUCGAUCAGUGGGUUAAGGAUCUGGCAUUGCCGUGAGCUGUGGUGUAGUCGCAGAUGAGGCUGGGAUCCUGCGUUGCUGUGGCUGUGAUGUAGGCCAGCAGCUGUAGCUCUGAUUUGACCCCUAGCCUGGGA
ensembl:lncRNA